CCUACGGGAGGCAGCAGUAAGGAAUAUUGGUCAAUGGACGCAAGUCUGAACCAGCCAUGCCGCGUGAAGGAUUAAGGUCCUCUGGAUUGUAAACUUCUUUUAUUUGGGACGAAAAAGGGCCUUUCUAGGUCAACUGACGGUACCAGAUGAAUAAGCACCGGCUAACUCCGUGCCAGCAGCCGCGGUAAUACGGAGGGUGCAAGCGUUAUCCGGAUUCACUGGGUUUAAAGGGUGCGUAGGCGGGUAGGUAAGUCAGUGGUGAAAUCCUGGAGCUCAACUCCAGAACUGCCAUUGAUACUAUUUAUCUUGAAUAUUGUGGAGGUAAGCGGAAUAUGUCAUGUAGCGGUGAAAUGCUUAGAUAUGACAUAGAACACCUAUUGCGAAGGCAGCUUACUACGCAUAUAUUGACGCUGAGCGACGAAGACGUGGGAGUACAACAGAGUAGUAUACCUACGUAGUACCGACCGACCCUAACCUAACUAGUAUUACUACGUACUAUUGUUGUAUACACAAUAAGUAGUCUGUAG
rnacentral:rRNA from 1 species